GGCAUCUGGGAACUUUGAUUUUUCAGUUUUUAAUAACACACAAAGAUGAUGAAGGUCCCUAAAUGGCAUGAACAUUGUAGUUUAUCUAUGCAUUCUUCAGUCAUAUUCAUAGUCCUGUUGUGCCAGGGCAGUGGGAUAGGUUGCCAAAUGAGCAGAGAAAAUACCUAGAGACUCCAUAUAGCUAAAAGUCCUUAUUGAGAAAUGCUUAUGGGGAGGGUCCAGCAGUGACAGGCCGAACAGACUGCACCUGCCUCUCUCACAUUGGUCCAUGACAAUAGAAGCAGAGUGAUUACUUCUCAUUAUAGGCAUGUUUGUCCUAGAGAGUUGGUAAAGGAGUGAAAAGCAAUGAAUUCCAAACAUCAGUAUGUAGAGCUCAAUGAUAGUCACUUCAUUCGUGGGCUGGGCUUUGGCACCUAUAAACCUCAAGAGUUAAUAGUAAGGGGUUGGGUUGAGGGCUCAUAAGAAAGUAGUGACAAGAUAAAUGGAAUCCAAUCUAG
rnacentral:lncRNA from 1 species